UACGGAGGGGACUAGCGUUGUUCGGAAUUACUGGGCGUAAAGCGCACGUAGGCGGCUUUGCAAGUUAGAGGUGAAAGCCCGGAGCUCAACUCCGGAAUUGCCUUUAAAACUGCAUCGCUAGAAUUGUGGAGAGGUGAGUGGAAUUCCGAGUGUAGAGGUGAAAUUCGUAGAUAUUCGGAAGAACACCAGUGGCGAAGGCGACUCACUGGACACAUAUUGACGCUGAGGUGCGAAAGCGUGGGGAGCAAACAGG
rnacentral:rRNA from 1 species